rnacentral:pre_miRNA from 1 species
GGGGGGAGGCAGGAUCCUGGGCUGUGUCCCCGGCGCCUUGUGCUCCAGAGCCUGCGCUGUUGGAUUCGCGCUCCUGCCCCGCAGCCACCU